rnacentral:rRNA from 1 species
UAUAUACGUUGAAAAGUGUUAGGAUGAGAUGUGGGUAGGGGUGAAAUUCCAAUCGAACGUGGAGAUAGCUGGUUCUCCCCGAAAUAGCUUUAGGGCUAGCCUCAGGGAAGAGAUUGCAGGCGGUAGAGCACUGAUCAGGAGAGGGGCCUAUCCGGCUACCAAACCCAGUCAAACUACGAAUGGCUGCAAUUAUACCUGGGAGUCAGACUACGACUUAUAAGGGCCGUGGUCAAGAGGGAAACAGCCCAGACCAUCAGCUAAGGUCCCCAAUGCCGUGCUAAGUGGAGAAGGAUGUGGCAUUUCAUAAACAACCAGGAUGUUGGCUCAGAAGCAGCCAUCAUUUAAAGAGUGCGUAAUAGCUCACUGGUCGAGAGACUCUGCGCCGAAAAUGUCCGGGGCUCAAGCACGGAACCGAAGCUAUGGCAUGAUAGCAAUAUCAUGGGUAGGGGAGCGUUCUCAUAAGGAAGAAGCAUAAUCGUAAGGAAAUGUGGACAUAUGAGAAGUGAGAAUGCCGGUAUGAGUAUCGAAAAGAAAGGUGAGAAUCCUUUCCACCGAAAGCCCAAGGAUUCCUGAGCAACGAUCGUCGUCUCAGGGUAAGUCGGGACCUAAGCCGAGGCGAAAAGCAUAGGCGAUGGACAACAGGUUGAAAUUCCUGUACCGGAUAGACUCGAUUGAGCGAAGGAGUGACGCAGAAGGGUACACAAUCGUACGGAUGGAAGAGUACGUUCAAGUGAGUAGGUUGAUUAUGAGGCAAAUCCCAUAAACUAAAAGCUGAGACAUGAAGAGGAAACAAAGGAAACUUUGUGGAACUUGUGAAUCCCACACUGCCAAGAAAAGCUUCUAGCGAGAGGAUAUCCGCCCGUACCGUAAACCGACACAGGUAGGCGGGGAGAGAAUCCUAAGGUGCGCGGGAAAACCCUCGUUAAGGAACUCGGCAAAUUGCAUCCGUAACUUCGGGAGAAGGAUGGCCUUCGGUAAGUGGAGAGCAGAAACGCUCAAAGCAGAAAAAGGCGGCAGAAACAAGGCCCAAGCAACUGUUUACCAAAAACACAGGUGCCUGCGAAAGCGAAAGCUGAAGUAUAGGUGCUGACGCCUGCCCGGUGCCGGAAGGUUAAGGAGAGAGGUUAGCCGCAAGGCGAAGCUUUGAACUGAAGCCCCGGUGAACGGCGGCCGUAACUAUAACGGUCCUAAGGUAGCGAAAUUCCUUGUCGGGUAAGUUCCGACCCGCACGAAAGGCGUAACGAUUUGGGCACUGUCUCAACGAGAGACUCGGUGAAAUCAUAGUACCUGUGAAGAUGCAGGUUACCCGCGACAGGACGGAAAGACCCCGUGGAGCUUUACUGUAGCCUGAUAUUGAAAUUCGGCACAGCUUGUACAGGAUAGGUAGGAGCCUUUGAAACGUGAGCGCUAGCUUACGUGGAGGCGUUGGUGGGAUACUACCCUAGCUGUGUUGGCUUUCUAACCCGCACCACUUAUCGUGGUGGGAGACAGUGUCAGGCGGGCAGUUUGACUGGGGCGGUCGCCUCCUAAAAGGUAACGGAGGCGCUCAAAGGUUCCCUCAGAAUGGUUGGAAAUCAUUCAUAGAGUGUAAAGGCAUAAGGGAGCUUGACUGCGAGACCUACAAGUCGAGCAGGGUCGAAAGACGGACUUAGUGAUCCGGUGGUUCCGCAUGGAAGGGCCAUCGCUCAACGGAUAAAAGCUACCCCGGGGAUAACAGGCUUAUCUCCCCCAAGAGUUCACAUCGACGGGGAGGUUUGGCACCUCGAUGUCGGCUCAUCGCAUCCUGGGGCUGUAGUCGGUCCCAAGGGUUGGGCUGUUCGCCCAUUAAAGCGGUACGCGAGCUGGGUUCAGAACGUCGUGAGACAGUUCGGUCCCUAUCCGUCGUGGGCGUAGGAAAUUUGAGAGGAGCUGUCCUUAGUACGAGAGGACCGGGAUGGACAUACCUCUGGUGUACCAGUUGUCGUGCCAACGGCAUAGCUGGGUAGCUAUGUAUGGACGGGAUAAGUGCUGAAAGCAUCUAAGCAUGAAGCCCCCCUCAAGAUGAGAUUUCCCAACUUCGGUUAUAAGAUCCCUCGAAGAUGACGAGGUUAAUAGGUUCGAGGUGGAAGCGUGGUGACACGUGGAGCUGACGAAUACUAAUCGAUCGAAGACUUAAUCAA